rnacentral:tRNA from 1 species
GGUGGCUCAGUGGUAGAGUGCUUGCCUUGCCUGCAGGAGGUCCUGGGUUCGAUUCCUCAGCACCA